rnacentral:lncRNA from 1 species
CAUUCUUCCUGAAUAAGAUGCUUGACUAAAUUACUAUAUUUCUAAUUUUUUAAUUCAAGAACAGGCUUCCCUUUGCAUUUGUAUUUCCAGGCAAGGUACAACUUGUCCAGAGAAGGAAGGAAUGAGCCUUUCGUAUUGUCCCAUAUUACUGCCACAGUGUGAGGAGGAGGCCAUGAAUGUUUUGUUCCUUCACUGCAGCUAAAAUAAUUUUAAGAAGCCAACAUCCAUUGCUGGGACUGCAUGUUUUUUUGCUAUGGUCAUAGAAGAACUUGAAUGUACAGCUGAGGCUCAUCAAAGUCUGUGAGACCAGUAACACCACCUCUGCUCUUCUCUUGGUGAUUUGGUUGACUCUCUGGAGAGAUAACAAACUCAAAUCAGGAAUACAGAGAAACUUUAGAUUUGAACAUCAAGAAGAAAGACUUCUGGUUUCCAUGACAGCUCUUCAUUCCUCAACCCUUCCUACUCUUUUGGUUUGGAUUUUAUGACAACUUGUCUUCUGAUGAUUGUGACUUGACGUUGACAUCUGUGUUGGUUGGACCGCCCCAAACAUGCUCAGCAGAAGUGCAGUGCUCCUGUGUCUGUAUACGAUAAAGCAGCAGAUCCAAGGCAGCACUGAUCUAUCCUGUUUAUCACAAUGGCAGGUCUACUCUAAAGCUUAAGUGGAUGCUCAGUUAAGUGUCAAUGCUACUAAUGACUUAAAUUCUACCAAUUCAGGCACGAACAUCUUUCUGAGGUGGCUUAUCUUUGAUUGUUAGGUGCUGGUAAGGGGUGGGUUAUAAAACAGAAUAACAAAGUUUGUCUUUCUCUACCUAUUAAUGCUUUGUCUGGAACUUCAACUGAGGAGUUAUUUUCAUAUUCAUCCUUAACAAAAUGAAUGAAAUAAUUCUGUAUCAACAAGC